UUGUAUUUUGAAUAGAGAUACGGUUUCAUCAUGUUGGCCAUCGCACCCGGUUUUUUUUUUUUUUUUUUGGAGACAGUGCCUUGCUCUAUCACUUGGGCUGGAUUGCAGUGCGGGAUUUCACCAUAUUGGCCAGGCUGGUCACAAACUCCUGGCCUCAGGUGACCCGCCCGCCUUGGCCUCCUAAAGUGCUGGGAUUACAGGCAUGAGCCACUGCACCUGGCCUGCCCUGCGACUUUUAAUCUUUGCCCUUCUGUUUGAUCUCUGCUGUCUGCUCUCCCCUCCCACUAGAAAUACAAGAAACCCAAGUUUAUCCCUUGCUUUGUGUUCCUUCCGGAUGGAGACAUUCUCACUGGAGACUCAGAGGGGAACAUUCUCACCUGGGGGCGGAGCCCUUCAGAUUCCAAGACCCCGGGCAGGGGUGGGGCCAAAGAGACCUAUGGGAUUGUGGCCCAGGCUCACGCUCAUGAAGGUUCUAUCUUCGCCUUGUGUCUCCGGCGGGACGGGACAGUGCUGAGUGGUGGCGGGCGGGACCGCCGGCUGGUACAGUGGGGGCCCGGGUUGGUGGCCCUCCAGGAGGCUGAGAUUCCUGAGCACUUUGGGGCCGUGCGAGCCAUUGCUGAAGGGCUUGGCUCUGAGCUGCUGGUGGGAACCACGAAGAAUGCAUUGCUGAGGGGAGAUCUGGCCCAGGGCUUCUCCCCUGUAAUCCAGGGCCACACUGAUGAGCUGUGGGGGCUCUGCACACACCCCUCCCAGAACCGCUUCCUCACCUGCGGCCACGACCGGCAGCUCUGCCUGUGGGAUGGGGAGAGCCACGCGCUGGCCUGGAGCAUCGACCUCAAGGAGACUGGUCUCUGUGCUGACUUCCACCCGAGUGGGGCAGUUGUGGCCGUAGGACUGAACACGGGGAGGUGGUUGGUUUUGGAUACAGAGACCAGAGAGAUCGUGUCUGAUGUCAUUGAUGGCAAUGAGCAGCUCUCAGUGGUCCGGUACAGCCCAGGUGGGAGCCACCCCAACCCUGGACUCACAUGCGUCCCUGG
rnacentral:sRNA from 1 species